rnacentral:lncRNA from 1 species
CUUCUUGUAAUUUUGUGCAUAUUUGUUUUAUAUUUAUUUUCAGUGUUGACUUUCUUUUGUUAUCUGUAUAUAAUUAGUAUUUAAGAUUAGGAGAAGAUGAUUUAAUGGUAGUUAUAAAAAUAAGCUCUACUGUAUAGACAUAAACUCUAGUCCUUGUGUGGUUGGCAAGUAUUUUCAAUAUCUGAAGAUACUAGAUUUAAAGCAAUUUGGAGUUACAGGGCUUGUGACAGAUUGUCUUUUCCAAAGACGAGCACAACAUCUCUCAUCUGCAUUGAGCUGUUAUAACUCUUCCAUCAAGAGGUAAAGUUUACUUUGCCACCUACUUGAAUCUGAGACAGCAGCCCCAGACUGCUUUGACCAAUACAGUAUGCAGAACUGAUACUGCCAGUAACAGGCACAGCCCUUAACUGGCCUGGAAACUUGUACUUCCUCCCUGUUGGAAGCUAACCACCAUUUAAUAAGUGUGACUACUCCCACCCAAGCCCAUGUGGAGAGGGCUUGGAGGCUGAGAGGCUGUGCUAGAAACAGAAAGCCCAGGGAAAACAAAAGUGCCAGACCUGCAAAUGAAGAAGCCAAGUUGGAAGCCAAUCUUUCAGCACCAGCUGACCCCAGUUAAUAGCAGAUGGAUUAGAGAUGAACCCCCCACCUGAGUACUUCCUGACUUCCUAACAUAUAAAAAUGUGAGCCCAAUAAAAUAGUAGAGAUUUUAUGCCACGACAUUUUGAGGUAGUUUUAAAUGUAGUAAUCAAGAAUCAGAAUAGGGUCAACAGAGCAUAUAUACCUGCCCUGCUAAAAGGCUUUAUUCUUUUAAAACAUUUGACUGGACAAUGAGAGCCCAUUUUCCCAAUGAAUUUGCUGUAGGGUAACUGUAGGGUUUGCUACUCCUGCUCUGGAACAACAGGAAACUGAAUUCACAUCCCAUAUCUACCAUUUACUUUGUGACUGGACAAGUUACUCAACAUCUUGAAGCCUUACUUUCCUUUCCAAUCAAAUGGGGUUACAGUGAGAAUUUAAUGGUUUAAUGAAUAAAAAGCAUUACCAGCUAUCAAUUUUAAUCAUUUUUUAAUUAUAUUUUUAGAUAUAGUGAUUUAUUUUCUUGGCUAGAAAAAAUGAAAUUGUAUUGCUUCUUGGUUUAAAAUAAUUGCUGACAUUUUUACUAUUAUACUAACCUGUCAGUGACAAUGAGAAUAUCAGCUAGAGAAAGAGAGGAGGUGUUUUUUCCUUUUGCUUGGUUUACAAAGUCAUGUUAUUCAAUCACUGGUUUCUAUAUCUAUUUUUCAUUAUAUAUUUAUUUACUAUAGAAUGCAUACCUGCUCAACAUAUCCUUAAAUAUAAGAUGUUAACAUAUGUCUAUAUUUCCACAUAUGUACAAAUGAUGAAUUUAAUAACUUUUGCAUGGUUGAUAGCACAUAAAGCUUAAAUUACUUUUUGUGUCUUUUAACAAUUGCUUAACUGUUAAAGAUAAUGAGGUUUAUAAUUGCAGUCAUUGUCUUUCUCUAAUUGUACUUUCACAAAUUAGCCUUCAGACCAAAUCUAUUUGAAGCUACUCUUCUACUUUUACUCUUCCCAAUUUAGUCUCUGAAUCUCCCCUACCCCUCUCUCAUUCUUUCUUCUUCGUUUCUUCCUCUCUCCACGUACACAUAUAUGCGUAUGCACAUAUAUGUCUAUGCGCAUACAUGCAAACACACACAUAUUUACGUUUGACUUCUCAGUAUUUGGUCUUUGGGUUAGGAAUCCUACUUACAGCAGUCCACUGAGAUACUAAAUUCCUUUUAUUUCAGUUCCUUAUGACCAUUUGUCUGUCUAAGCUUUGAUAAAAUAUGGCAGGGUUCAGGAUUAUUGGCAGUCUUUUCUUCAGUGAACCCUAAAACUGGAACUUCAUAAAAGUUUCACAUCAGGAGAAACAUGUAGAGUAGAUAUGAGCAGAAAUAAGAUUAGCAACUGCUUUGAAAAUCAGAUUGUUCUUAUUUCUCUGCUAUAUGUGGAGUUCUCUUACUUGUAUGCCCAGGAAGUCUUAAUUUCCUCUGGCAUCUGCCAGCCUGUUUCACCACAUCAUGCUAAUUCAUCCCACUGAAAAAGUUAUAAAACGCAGGAAGCUUAAAUAAGCCCAGGAACUGCGUUCAUCACUCUUUUUAAAAAAUGAAACACAGAAUAUGUUUGCUUUAUUUACAGUAUUGGCUUCAGGCAAAUCAAAUUUAUGUGAAAUAUUAUUGCACCGAAAGGAUGUAAUGUGCAUUUCUUGCAUGAUACUAAAUUUAUCUUUAGGAAACAAAGACAAGUGAAGCAGCAAACUUGCCGAACAAUCUCUGCCACACCAUAUGCACUUCGUGAGUUAAAAAGUUAUGUUUUUAUCCUAAUUAUUUAUACUAUAAAUUCUGGUAUUGCAUCUAAAUUCUAUUAAUUUUCAAAAAGUUUCAUUUCAUUAAUUAGCUUAUGGUAGGACAAAGGGGUUUCACUGUAUCUACAGAUGAGACUUCAUUCCUUGUCUAGACUGGCUGGUGAAAACCUGGCUCCAUCCCAGCCUAGGGGCAGUGACCCAGGUAUAAACUCUGGGUCCAGCAUCCUAAGUAUAAAUCCUGCUCUGUCCCUCAAUUAUUGAGUAAGUUCAGGGUAAAAUGAACAAUGCCAAGCACAAAGAGGGCUAUAAAGAGGUAUAAGACAUAAUCCUUGCCCUCAUGGACUUUCGGGCUAGAUUUUUGAUCAGUAGAUCUUAAGAGCGUGAAAUAUAAGCUUGUACACCUCCCAGAGCAUUACUCAUGUGAGGUGGAAUGGAACAUGCUGAAGGACACAUAAUCCAUGUUUUAAACUGAAGAGGACCCAUAUAGUUAGCUAAGCUUUUAGAAGAACAGGUUGAGCAUCCCUAAUCGGAAAAUCUAAAAUCAGAAAUCCUCCAAAAUCUGAAAGUAUUUGAGCACCAACAUGAUAAAAAUGGAAAAUUCCACAUGUGACCUUAUGUAAUGAGUUUCAGUCAAAAUGCAGGCAUACAACCCACAGUUUAUUCAGCAUUCCCAGGAGAAAAAAGACCCUCCCAGCCUGUUUUCCUAUUCAAUACCUCACCUAUGUUGCUUCUCAGUAGCUGAUCUUGGAACAUUAAUGAUACCAAAGGGGAGUGUUUUAGGUGCAGAUCAAGAUAGCAACUAAAACUUAUGAUAAUUAACUUAGGAACUUAAAUCAGUGAGUGAAUUUCCAGGGACAGUGAGAACACUAAUUCUCUGUGAUUUUAAAAUGUCUCCAUUUGUUAUAUUCUCUGAUUUUUCUUCCCGUAUUUUUAUGAGCAAAGCUUAUAUCAACCCUAUAAAAAUGUUAUACUAGUAUAAGGAAGAGUAACAGAAAGGUACAGUCUGGAAAAGUGAACCCUGGUUCAUUGACUGAUAAGCCAGAGGAACUCAGGACCUAAUAGGCUGCAGGAGAGCAUCAAAAUAGGACAUCAACUAGAUUGCCCCUGCCCCCUCAAAGGUAUACAAGUGAGUACAAGGGCCACUUUAUUUGGUUCAGCAUUAUAAGAAUUAGAAGGGUGAGGUUCCAUGAACCCCCGUUUGUUAUGUAAUGAAGAUGAUUAACUUUCUGGCUUGCUGAGUAAAAUGGUACUCAUAAUAGAAUCAAAACCUUUCCUGAAGGUAAGACAUGCUAUAUUUAUUGCUUCCUCCUUGUCUAUAAGCCAGAACAUUCUCUCACUAUUGUAAUACAAGCUAAUAAGAGCCAAAUAAAUCUCUGAUCCUUUGGCUCACUCUGCCAUUAAACACAAGCCAUUGUAAAGUCAUGAAAAUUACCUGAGAAGGAUGUGGAAAAACUGUUUUUUUCAGAAAAGACCAACCACAGUGAUUAAAGGGAUGAAAAAGAUGACCUGCUUGAAAACUCUAAAGAACCCAGUAUUAUUUGAAAGAAGAGGAAGCUGAAUGCCCUCUGUCCUUCUCUGGAAUAAGAACUAACCUGAACAACAGUAACAACAAUACAAACAGCUAUGAAGAUUAUGUAUAGCUGGAGGCUACAAGCAGGUAAGGUGUGAAGGGAUAUAAAAAUUAAAAUAACCUAUUUAUUAUUUUUAUUUUCAAAAAUCAAUUUAUUUAGUGAGUUUGUGUUAUUAAAUGAUGAAAAAAAUUACAAUGAAGGGCUAAGGGCUUUCUACUUAGCUUUAGUUUAAUAGUUUCAGUUUUCAUUUUCAAAUGAAGUGUUAGUACUUCAUUUAAUCUAUAACAACCAUGGAAUGUGGUAUCAUUAACAUCAGUUGAAAAAGUAAACUAAGUUUAAUUCAUGGUAAUUCAUGAGACGAAUUCAUUGACCAGAGGAGGUCAAAGAGUCAUGGUUCUUAAAAUGAAUGUUGUAGUCCUCUGCCUUUCGAUAACCUUACUAUGAUCAUUUUUAUGUAAGAGGCAACUAAGCCGUAAGUGGGUAAAAAGCAUAGAUUUGCUCAAUUUCUAACCUGUUUUUUUCAUGAUACAUGCAUCAUCCUAAACUAUUCCUCAAAUUUAUCAUUUAAUCUCUGCUUUAACAAUUUAGUGAGCUGAGGAAAUUAUAAUACCAUUUAAAAAUAGCAUAAUCAUUAGAAAUAUCUUCUUUAUGUUGACCUAAAAUUAACUUCCCUCCUAUCCCUGGUGAUGCCACUCAUAUUGCCAAAACUAGAUGGUGACCAAACCUGUCAGAUUGUUUUUUAAAGAUGCUGAGGAGCAGAUUUCUCAUGGGGAGCACCUUCUGAUACAUUUUAAUACGUUUCUUACAGGCUAGUCAAAUAAAGCAGUGGGAGUGGAAAAGGAUCAAAGAAAUCUGUAACCGGUUAUGAUCAAUUAGUUGUAAACACCACUGCACGAGGACCAGCCCAAAGCUGCUACUUAACCAAGUGACUUUCUGAUUGCUCAACUGUGUUUCCACUGAGAAAAAUGCAUUGAAAUGAAACAUCUCAUUUCCAGUACUGUCCUGAGGCAAAAAGAGACAAUGAUACGUAUCUCCAAUUUAGACUGGAUGAAACUAGCCACAUUUCAAAUAAAGAAGUCACAUUGUAAGUGUAAAACGACGUUAACCUUAAAGGAGACAUUUCCGCCCUGUAUAACUAUGCACAGCUUCAACUAAUGGUAUAUGAACUGUGUCUACAAACCAAAGGACAUUUUUCUAAAGAAACUUUAAAUAUAGAAAAUUAACUCAAACCUUACCUUAGAGCUUCCUCCUCUAUUGUCUUUUCCUGUAGUGGUAGUCUCUGUGGCACUUACAGGUGGUAAACAAAUAAAAAAGUGUCUUAUUGAAUUAACUUGAUUGCCAUAUUGAUCAGUUUUAUGUGUUUUUAUUCUUAAGCAUAACAAUAAAAGAAAAUGAUUAAGCAAUGUUUUGCUUAAAAAAAAAAGAUUUCAUGGCAGAGAAGCAAUUGAGUCCAGUUAAGAGACAGUUAAGAACAUUUUUCAGUUUGGAGCUUUUGUUUUGUGAUGAGAACUUUGCCAGUUAGUCACAAAUGAACUUGAGCACAUUUUCUUGAGCGUGAUGGCUGAACAGAUGAGCCACACACACUUUAUAGUGAGUUUUACUGCACUGAGUCUUUACCUACUAUUCCUAGUAGUUACACAUAUUAAAUUAUUAAUAACUGAUCAACAUUUUAAAAGAAGGUUUCAAAAGAAAUGUAAUUAGAUUUUAUAGUUGAGUUUUAGCUAAUGUGUGAUUCCACAAAAGUUCAGGUGCCGAGAUUACAUUUCAAUUUAUACUUGCCAUCUGCUAGAAUAUUCCCCUCUGUCUACAGCAUCCUGACCAGAUCUCCAAAUUUUGAAAUCUGUUUUCAUUAUUCAAGACUCAUUGUACAUUUCAAAUACCAGGUUGAUUUCUUAGUCUCCAUGUUCUCCAUGUCUGCUUAUGACUUUACAGAAAAAAUGUUAUUUACUAUGCAUAUUAAUAUUGAGAUUCUUUACUAUGCUGUAUCUUUUUUUUUUUUUUUUUUUUUUUGAGAUGGAGUCUCACUAUGUUGCCCAGGCUGGAGUGCAGUGGCGCCAUCUCGGCUCACUGCAAGCUUCGCCUCCUGGGUUCAUGCCAUUCUCCUACCUCAGCCUCCUGAGUAGCUGGGAUUCUAAUCUCCGCCACCACGCCUGGCCAAUUUUUUGUAUUUUUAGUAGAGACAGGGUUUCACUUUGUUAGCCAGGAUGGGAGCUCGUAAUCCGCCCACCUCGGCCUCCCAAAGCUGGGAUUACAGGCGUGAGCCACUGUGCCUGGCCUACUAUGCUGUAUUCUUAUAGUUAACAGCAUGCUCUUUGAUAAUAUCUCAUUGGAAAUAUUUAUGCUCUGAAACAUUAUUUUUUGAAUUGUUAAAUAUAAAUCAUUUAUACAGCAAUACUUUAUGGGAGAAGCAUAUGCUGAAUUUUAAUGGUGUUUACUUUGCAAUCCAAAAUUGUGAAUACAUACAUGUAAAACUAUGAAAUUGCUAAUUAAAUAUUUCCAUCUAUC